AUGGAAGAAUCAAUCUCAGAUGAUGAGGAAGUGACACUACUGGAGGAUCUUAAGGAGAAGUUGGAAGAUGGCAUGGAGCAGCCACCAGAUUGGCUCCCAGAUGGCUGGAUCAUGGAGGUCAGACGUGAUGAUAAUGGCGCCCUCUACAAGUAUUUCAUAUCUCCAGUCACGGGGGUCAAGUUCAGGUUGAAGGAACAGGUCUUGGACUACCUUUUCUCCGAGAUGGAGGAACACUACAUCGAAUCUAAUGAUUGUGUUGCUUGUAGCACGCCUCAUGCACACGAAUGGCUUCCGGAUGGAUGGUUGGUAGAGGUCAGAGCAGGGGGAGAAAAGAUGGAGAAGAUGUACAAGUUUUAUCUUUUCUCACCAUUGGAAAUUCUAGCAACAGUGGAGUUCAACCCACAUGGGCUGCCACAAGGAUGGGUCAAAGAGGUCGUAUACAGAAAAUCCGAGGAAAGAAUAAGGAAAGACUCGUACUUCACGGAUCCUGUUAGCCACAAAGUAUUCAGGUCAUUGAAUUAUGCAACUCACUACAUUAAUACCGGGGAAGUUAAAAAACAUGCACUUGUUCAGAGGGCAAGCGUGCAUGAAGUGUACAAUUUUGAGAAGUCUGCUGAUAUGCCUACAAAACUUCCUAUUAAAGCCACGAUUCGGGAGCCGCGAGUGAGCAGUCACCACGAGGAAUACCGCAACGCCGACAGGCGAACCCCCGCGGGGCGAUCCCAGCCGCUCGAUCGGAAUCCCACGGCCCAGCGCCCCCACGAGCGCCGAGGGCCCUACCCGACCCGUGAAAUCCCGUAA
rnacentral:rRNA from 1 species